rnacentral:rRNA from 1 species
UGCCUACGGGGGGCAGCAGUGAGGAAUAUUGGUCAAUGGACGAGAGUCUGAACCAGCCAAGUAGCGUGAAGGAGGACUGCCCUAUGGGUUGUAAAAUUCUUUUAUAUGGGAAUAAAAUGUUCCACGUGUGGGAGUUUGUAUGUACCAUAUGAAUAAGGAUCGGCUAACUCCGUGCCAGCAGCCGCGGUAAUACGGAGGAUCCGCGCGUUAUCCGGAGUUAUUGGGUGUAAAGGGAGCGUAGGUGGAUUGUUAAGUCAGUUGUGAA